rnacentral:rRNA from 1 species
GAUGAACGCUAGCUACAGGCUUAACACAUGCAAGUCGAGGGGAAACGGCAUCGAAAGCUUGCUUUUGAUGGGCGUCGACCGGCGCACGGGUGAGUAACGCGUAUCCAACCUGCCCAUCACUUGGGAAUAACCUUGCGAAAGUAAGACUAAUGCCCAAUGACAUCCCACGAAGGCAUCCGAAUGGGAUUAAAGAUUUAUCGGUGAUGGGUGGGGAUGCGUCUGAUUAGCUUGUUGGCGGGGUGACGGCCCACCAAGGCAACGAUCAGUAGGGGUUCUGAGAGGAAGGUCCCCCACAUUGGAACUGAGACACGGUCCAAACUCCUACGGGAGGCAGCAGUGAGGAAUAUUGGUCAAUGGGCGAGAGCCUGAACCAGCCAAGUAGCGUGCAGGAUGACGGCCCUAUGGGUUGUAAACUGCUUUUAUAAGGGAAUAAAGUGGGUCACGUGUGACUUUUUGCAUGUACCUUAUGAAUAAGGACCGGCUAAUUCCGUG